rnacentral:rRNA from 1 species
CAAUCGAACGUGGAGAUAGCUGGUUCUCCCCGAAAUAGCUUUAGGGCUAGCCUCAUGGCAAGAGUGCAGGCGGUAGAGCACUGAACAGGGUAGGGGCCUAUCCGGCUACCGAACCUAAUCAAACUACGAAUGGCUGUACUUAUCCAUGGGAGUCAGACUGCGAGUGAUAAGACCCGUAGUCAAGAGGGAAACAGCCCAGACCAACAGCUAAGGUCCCCAAUGCCGUACUAAGUGGUAAAGGAUGUGGAGUUUCGAAAACAACCAGGAUGUUGGCUUAGAAGCAGCCACCAUUAAAAGAGUGCGUAAUAGCUCACUGGUCGAGAGACUCUGCGCCGAAGAUGACCGGGGCUAAAGUACGGAACCGAAGCUUUGGCAUGUAUGUAAAUACAUGGGUAGGGGAGCGUUCCUGCAUGGGCGAAGCCUGACCGGAAGGACAGGUGGACAGGCAGGAAGUGAGAAUGCCGGUAUGAGUAGCGAAAAGAAAGGUGAGAAUCCUUUCCACCGAAAGCCUAAGGGUUCCUGGGCAACGAUCGUCGACCCAGGGUAAGUCGGGACCUAAUCCGAGGCGAAGACGCAUAGGAGAUGGACAACAGGUUGAAAUUCCUGUACCGACGUCGUCUGUUUGAGCGAUGGAGUGACACAAGAAGGAAAGUUCGCAUGCGAUUGGAAGAGCAUGUCUAAGCAGGUAGGUUGGAUACCAGGCAAAUCCGGUAUUCUAAAAGCCGAGAAGUGAUAGGGAGCCUGUAGAGAUACAGGUGAAGGAACCGGGACUCAAUUGUCAAGAAAAGCUUCUAGUGAGGACGACGCCGCCCGUACCAAAACCGACACAGGUAGGCAAGAAGAGAAUUCUAAGGUGCGCGGGAAAACCCUCGUUAAGGAACUCGGCAAAAUGUAUCCGUAACUUCGGGAAAAGGAUAACCCAAAGUACGUGAAGGAAAGAAACAUCCGGAGCGGGAAUGGGUGGCACAAGAGAGGCCCAAGCGACUGUUUACCACAAACACAGGCGUCUGCUAAAGAGAAAUCUGAUGUAUAGAUGCUGACACCUGCCCGGUGCUGGAAGGUUAAGAGGACGUGUUAGCCGUAAGGCGAAGCAGAGAAUUGAAGCCCCAGUAAACGGCGGCCGUAACUAUAACGGUCCUAAGGUAGCGAAAUUCCUUGUCGGGUAAGUUCCGACCCGCACGAAAGGUGUAACGACUUGCGCACUGUCUCAACGAGGGACCCGGUGAAAUUGAAGUACCUGUGAAGAUGCAGGUUACCCGCGACUGGACAGAAAGACCCCAUGGAGCUUUACUGUAACCUGAGAUUGAAUUUUGGUAGAAGAUGUACAGGAUAGUUGGGAGACGUAGAAGCGCGCACGCCAGUGUACGCAGAGUCGAUGGUGGGAUACCAACCUUGUUUUAUUGAAAUUCUAACGAGAGCCGUAACGAGGCUGCGGACAGUCUCAGGCGGGCAGUUUGACUGGGGCGGUCGCCUCCGAAAGAGCAACGGAGGCGCCCAAAGGUUCCCUCAGCGCGGACGGAAACCGCGCGAAGAGUGUAAAGGCAGAAGGGAGCUUGACUGCGAGACGGACAGGUCGAGCAGGGACGAAAGUCGGGCUUAGUGAUCCGGUGGUAGAGAGUGGAAUUGCCAUCGCUCAACGGAUAAAAGCUACCCUGGGGAUAACAGGC